CACCUUAUAUGGAUAUAUGGAUCUUGGCGCACUAUUAAUUAUUGCUGCAAAUAAGCUGGUAUGAUCUGCUGCUUGGAGAGCCUUAGGUAAUUGCAUCCCUCUCCUGUAUAGUAGUUGAAACGGCUGACUUGCAACCCAGUCACCCAACUUGUUCUAGUCAAAUUGGCUGUUUAAAGUAGUGUUUUACAUCAUCUUUAUAAAUCAAACUUUCAAGUUUUGUCC
rnacentral:lncRNA from 1 species